UCCUCCCUUAGAGGUUUUACAGGUGUGGCUGUUAUGUCACAUGUGAGUUAGUAGGUGGCAAAAAGGAGAUAGGCUAUGUUGAUGCUCAGGGUUCUGACCUAUGAACUGAGAACAUAGUAAUCUAACAUU